rnacentral:lncRNA from 1 species
CCCUAGGAUUUAACCCCCAAUCACAUAGCUCCUUACAAGGCCAACCUGCAAAAUCCUAGUUCAGACCUAACCCCCACCCCCAUACCACUCGGGAUCUCUCCAAACCAAGCAGGCAAAAAAUACAAUGUUUACAUCCCCAAAAGAAGUAAUUUUGAACAUAUCAAAGUGUAGAAAAAGGAAAAACAUGCUGUCACUUUGCCUUCU